GAUGAAGAACGCAGCGAAAUGCGAUAAGUAGUGUGAAUUGCAGAAUUUCCGUGAGUCAUCGAAUCUUUGAACGCACAUUGCGCCCAUUGGUAUUCCGAUGGGCAUGCCUGUUCGAGCGUCAUUUCACCACUCAAGCCUGGCUUGGUGUUGGGCGACGUCCCCUUUGGGGACGCGCCUCGAAACGCUCGGCGGCGUGGCACCGGCUUUAAGCGUAGCAGAAUCUUUCGCUUUGGAAGUCGGGGCCCCGUCUGCCGGAAGACCUACUCGCAAGGUUGACCUCGGAUCAGGCAGGGAUACCCGCUGAACUUAAGCAUAUCAAUAAGCGGAGGA
rnacentral:misc_RNA from 1 species